CUUGUAUUUAAAGCAGUUGCAAGGGGAACUUCUUAACGGCAUAAAAUGAAAUUCACGAUUGCAGUUUUUUUGGCUUGUGGCCUCUUAGAAAUUGUCUUGGGUCAGCAGCCCCCUAGCUGUUUUCAGGCACCUUCAGAGCAUGGACUAUGCUACGAAGGUACUGACCUGUGGAGCUACUAUCCCCAACUAAAUCAGUGCAAGGUAUUCACUUACAAUGGUUGCUUGGGAAACGAUAACAGGUUCGCAUCCCGUGAGAUCUGCGAGAGAACGUGUAAGCAAUAGAACCGAAAGAAUAUUGUGUCCGCAUUUAUAUAGAUCCGAACCAGUUUUGUAUCUUAAGACUGGCAAGUCUUCGUCUUUUAAUUUCAUUUUACAUAAUAAAACGUAACGAUUUCAA